rnacentral:rRNA from 1 species
AUUGAACGCUGGCGGCAUGCUUUACACAUGCAAGUCGAACGGUAACAGGUUAAGCUGACGAGUGGCGAACGGGUGAGUAAUGCAUCGGAACGUGCCCGAUCGUGGGGGAUAACACUUCGAAAGAAGUGCUAAUACCGCAUACGAUCUGAGGAUGAAAGCGGGGGACCGUAAGGCCUCGCGCGAUCGGAGCGGCCGAUGUCAGAUUAGGUCGUUGGUGGGGUAAAGGCUCACCAAGCCGACGAUCUGUAGCUGGUCUGAGAGGACGACCAGCCACACUGGGACUGAGACACGGCCCAGACUCCUACGGGAGGCAGCAGUGGGGAAUUUUGGACAAUGGGCGCAAGCCUGAUCCAGCAAUGCCGCGUGCAGGAAGAAGGCCUUCGGGUUGUAAACUGCUUUUGUACGGAGCGAAAAGGCUCCCUCUAAUACAGGGGACUUAUGACGGUACCGUAAGAAUAAGCACCGGCUAACUACGUGCCAGCAGCCGCAGUAA